AUUGAACGCUGGCGGCAGGCCUAACACAUGCAAGUCGAACGGUAACAGAAAGCAGCUUGCUGCUUUGCUGACGAGUGGCGGACGGGUGAGUAAUGUCUGUGAAACUGCCUGAUGGAGGGGGAUAACUACUGGAAACGGUAGCUAAUACCGCAUAACGUCGCAAGACCAAAGAGGGGGACCUUCUGGCCUCUUGCCAUCGGAUGUGCCCAGAUGGGAUUAGCUAGUAGGUGGGGUAACGGCUCACCCAGGCGACGAUCCCUAGCUGGUCUGAGAGGAUGAGCAGCCACACUGGAACUGAGACACGGUCCAGACUCCUACGGGAGGCAGCAGUGGGGAAUAUUGCACAAUGGGCGCAAGCCUGAUGCAGCCAUGCCGCGUGUAUGAAGAAGGCCUUCGGGUUGUAAAGUACUUUCAGCGGGGAGGAAGGGAGUAAAGUUAAUACCUUUGCUCAUUGACGUUACCCGAAGAAGAAGCACCGGCUAACUCCGUG
rnacentral:rRNA from 1 species